rnacentral:rRNA from 1 species
UACGAAGGGGGCUAGCGUUGUUCGGAAUCAUUGGGCGUAAAGAGCGUGUAGGCGGCCCGGUAAGUCCGCUGUGAAAGUCCAGGGCUCAACCCUGGGAUGCCGGUGGAUACUGUCGGGCUCGAGUCCGGAAGAGGAGUGUGGAAUUCCUGGUGUAGCGGUGAAAUGCGCAGAUAUCAGGAGGAACACCAAUGGCGAAGGCAGCACUCUGGGACGUGACUGACGCUGUAGAGCGAAAGCGUGGGGAGCGAACAGG